rnacentral:lncRNA from 1 species
CUGACUGAAUUACAACUGGUAGAAGUUAUUUUUUCUGUCUGAAUUUAUUAAAGUAUAAAAUCAAGAGAUCAUUUAUCAAUAUUACGAGGAUAAUGGCAUUGGCAUGAUUAUUUGAUGUCAUCAUGUGUUGACAUCAUCUACUUUACAUGAUUACAAGAUCCCAUGAUGUCAUAUCAUGAUUCCAUCAUGGAAUCUUAAUGACAACAUAUUCAAAUUUGAAUUAAAUCAUUUUGCCAUAUAAUUUAUUAAUUAUAGCAUUUGAAGUCCAUUGGAUUUUUGUGUCCAGUUUUAAUGUAGAUUUAAUCAGAAUAUUAGUCCACAAUAACAUCACUAUUGCAGCAACAUGAUGUCACAGAGCAAUGGUGUUUUGUGACCUCAUUCAUUGUUACAUCAUUGUAAUAUCACAUAAAUGUGAUUGUGACAUCAUUCCAAAUUUGGAUAUCAUUCUGAAGUAUUUAAAUAAAGUAUUUUUGUUGUCACCCAAAAUGCCCCAUCCCCUGGGAUGAUCUCAACCUAGGGUAGCCUAUGUUAUCUGCAAUGUCAAGGAAAGUUUCCAGACCAAAUGGUGCAGAAGUCUUUGUGGAAGAGACAGACAGCAACCAAACAUUGCAUUUUUUAUAUAUAUACAAUAGAACUUCUAUAUUUGUAAAAUCCAAUAUUCGGAAAAAAAUUUUGAAGGAAAACUGUAUCGAUAUUCGCAUAUAUCGCUAUAUUCGGAACAAUAUCAGUAGUCUCAAGUUGCCAGCUUGGGUAACUUUUU